ACAGAUAGAAAAAAAAAUCAAGUUGGUAAAAAUGUAAUAUCCACAGUGGGUGGUUGCAUUUAUUAUUUUAAAAGAAGUUGAACCACACCAACUAAUACUAUUUUGCGAGCUGAGGCCGGCGAUUUUGUCUUCGAACAGAUCACAAAAAAUUCAAGUUACCUACAUCUAAAAGAGCUGCUGCCGGAGAACAUGAUCGGUUCGGUGCUUAAUCCUGCUAGCAAGAAGCCGCCACGAAGUACAUACGUCGCAAAGGAUAGUCGGAAGGGGCCGGUAUUGACGAUGCGUCUUCGCCGUUUUGAGUAUAAUUCCAUCUUAUUUGAUCCUGCUGCUGCUAAAGCAGGAAGGGAACAUGCAAUCAAUUAGAAAAAGUACCAAAUUAGUAUGCUCUGAUGCGAUUCAACAUAAACGAGGAGCCACAGCAGGUCAGCCAGAUUUUCCAGAGCAAGAAAAUUUAUUUUAAAAUAUUAAUAUAUGUAUUAAAUUAAUGGGAUUCAACCGUAUAACGAAAGUCGCAUUCCGGAUGGAUUAAAUUAAACGAAAACAAAUUAUUAAAAAAAAGUGAAAAAUCUA